AGGAUAAACGCUGGCGGCGUGCCUAAUGCAUGCAAGUCGAACGGGGUACCGGCUUCGGCCGGUACUGAGUGGCGGACGGGUGAGGAACACGUACGAGACCUGCCCUCCGGUGGGGAAUAAGCCCUCGAAAGGGGGUCUAAUGCCGCAUACGGUCGGGAGCAGCGAGGCUUUCGAGGAAAGUUUUCGGAUGCCGGAGGAGGGGCGUGCGGCCGAUUAGCUAGUUGGUGGGGUAAAGGCCUACCAAGGCGACGAUCGGUAGCUGGUCUGAGAGGAUGGUCAGCCACACUGGGACUGAGAUACGGCCCAGACUCCUACGGGAGGCAGCAGCAGGGAAUCUUGCGCAAUGGGCGAAAGCCUGACGCAGCAACGCCGCGUGGGUGAUGAAGGCUCUUGGGUCGUAAAGCCCUUUUCUGGGGGACGAAGGUCUGACGGUACCCCAGGAAGAAGCCACGGCUAACUACGUGCCAGCAGCCGC
rnacentral:rRNA from 1 species